ensembl:lncRNA
GUGGGGGUGUGUAUGAGGUGGUGGUGUGUAUGAGAUGGUGGUGUGUAUGAGGUGGUGGUGUGUAUGAGGUGGUGGUGUGUAUGAGGUAAUUGUGUAUAUGAGGUGGGGGUGUUUAUGAGGUGGGGGUGUGUAUGGGGUGGUGUGUAUGAGGUGGUGAUGUGUAUGAGAUGGUGUUGUGUAUGAGGUAAGGGUGUGUAUGAGGUGGUGGUGUGUAUGAGGUGGUGGUGUGUAUGAGGUGGUGGUGUGUAUGGGAUGGUGUGUAUGAGGUAAUGGUGUGUAUGAGGUAAUGGUGUAUAUGAGGUGGUGGUGUGUCUGAGGUGGUGGUGUGUCUGAGGUAAUGGUGUACAUGAGGUGGGGGUGUAUAUGAGGUGGUGGUGUGUAUGAGGUGGGGGUGUGUAUGGGGUGUUGUGUAUGAGGUGGUGGUGUGUAUGAGGUGGGGGUGUGUAUGCGAUGGUGUGUAUGAGGUGGUGGUGUGUAUGGGAUGGUGUGUAUGAGGUGGUGGUGUGUAUGAAGUGGUGGUGUGUAUGAGGUAAUGGUGUGUAUGAGGUAAGGGUGUAUAUGAGGUGGGGGUGUCUAUGAGGUGGUGGUGUGUAUGAGGUGGGGGUGUGUAUGAGGUGGGGGUGUGUAUGAGGUGGUGGUGUGUAUGAGGUAAUGGUGUGUAUGAGGUAAUGGU